GCCGGGCGCGAUGGCUCACGCCUGUAAUCCCAGAACUUUGGGAGGCUGAGGCGGGUGGAUCACUUGAGGUCAGGAGUUCAAGACCAGCCUGGCCAAGAUGGUGAAACCCCGUCUCUA
rnacentral:SRP_RNA from 2 species